rnacentral:rRNA from 1 species
AUUGAACGCUGGCGGCAGGCCUAACACAUGCAAGUCGAGCGAGCGGCGGACGGGUGAGUAAUGUAUGGGGACUGCCCGAUAGAGGGGGAUAACUACUGGAAACGGUGGCUAAUACCGCAUACUAUCGGAUAACCCAUAUGGGAUUUGCUAGUAGGUGGGGUAAAGGCUCACCUAGGCGACGAUCUCUAGCUGGUCUGUGAGGAUGAUCACCCACUCGGGGACUGAGACACGGCCCAGACUCCUACGGAGUCAGACGUGGGGAAUAUGGCACAAUGGGCGCAGGCCUGAUGCAGCCCUGCCGCGGGUAUGAAGAGGGCCUUAGGGUUGUAAGGUACUUUCAGCGGGGAGGCGUUACCCGCAGAGGAAGCACCGGCUAACUCCGUGCCAGCAGCCGCGGUAAUUC